GACGAACGCUGGCGGCGUGCUUAACACAUGCAAGUCGAACGGAAAGGCCCUGCUUUUGUGGGGUGCUCGAGUGGCGAACGGGUGAGUAACACGUGAGUAACCUGCCCUUGACUUUGGGAUAACUUCAGGAAACUGGGGCUAAUACCGGAUAGGAGCUCCUGCUGCAUGGUGGGGGUUGGAAAGUUUCGGCGGUUGGGGAUGGACUCGCGGCUUAUCAGCUUGUUGGUGGGGUAGUGGCUUACCAAGGCUUUGACGGGUAGCCGGCCUGAGCGGGGGCCCGGGCACAUUGGGACUAAGAUACGGCCCAGACUCCUACCGGAGGCAGCAGUGGGGAAUAUUGCACAAUGGGCGGAAGCCUGAUGCAGCAACGCCGCGUGCGGGAUGACGGCCUUCGGGUUGUAAACCGCUUUCGCCUGUGACGAAGCGUGAGUGACGGUAAUGGGUAAAGAAGCACCGGCUAACUACGUG
rnacentral:rRNA from 1 species